rnacentral:rRNA from 1 species
GACGUAGGGCGCGAGCGUUGUCCGGAUUUAUUGGGCGUAAAGAGCUCGUAGGCGGCUUGUUGCGUCGACUGUGAAAACCCGCGGCUUAACUGCGGGCUUGCAGUUGAUACGGGCAGGCUAGAGUUCGGUAGGGGGGACUGGAAUUCCUGGUGUAGCGGUGAAAUGCGCAGAUAUCAGGAGGAACACCGGUGGCGAAGGCGGGUCUCUGGGCCGAUACUGACGCUGAGGAGCGAAAGCCAGGGGAGCAAACGGG